GCUAAUCACGGCGCGGCAGGCGCUGGAAGAGGUAGUGUCCAAGCGUUAAUCGGGAUUACUGGGCGUAAAGCGUGGGCAGGCGGUUGUGCAAGACCGAUGUGAAAUCCCCGAGCUUAACUUGGGAAUUGCAUUGGUGACUGCACGGCUAGAGUGUGUCAGAGGGGGGUAGAAUUCCACGUGUAGCAGUGAAAUGCGUAGAGAUGUGGAGGAAUACCGAUGGCGAAGGCAGCCCCCUGGGAUAACACUGACGCUCAUGCACGAAAGCGUGGGGAGCAAACAGGAUUAGAUACCCUUGUAGUC
rnacentral:rRNA from 1 species